GACGAACCGUGCGAGCGUUGUUCGGAAUCACUGGGCUUAAAGGGCGCGUAGGCGGGUUUGCAAGUCUGCGGUGAAAGCCUCCAGCUUAACUGGAGAAGUGCCGUGGAUACUGCGGAUCUCGAGGAGGGUAGGGGCAUCUGGAACGGUCGGUGGAGCGGUGAAAUGCGUUGAUAUCGACCGGAACUCCGGUGGCGAAGGCGAGGUGCUGGACCCUUUCUGACGCUGAGGCGCGAAAGCCAGGGGAGCGAACGGG
rnacentral:rRNA from 1 species